rnacentral:rRNA from 1 species
AGUGAACGCUGGCGGUAGGCCUAACACAUGCAAGUCGAACGGCAGCACAGUAAGAGCUUGCUCUUACGGGUGGCGAGUGGCGGACGGGUGAGGAAUACAUCGGAAUCUACUUUUUCGUGGGGGAUAACGUAGGGAAACUUACGCUAAUACCGCAUACGACCUACGGGUGAAAGCAGGGGAUCUUCGGACCUUGCGCGAUUGAAUGAGCCGAUGUCAGAUUAGCUAGUUGGCGGGGUAAAGGCCCACCAAGGCGACGAUCCGUAGCUGGUCUGAGAGGAUGAUCAGCCACACUGGAACUGAGACACGGUCCAGACUCCUACGGGAGGCAGCAGUGGGGAAUAUUGGACAAUGGGCGCAAGCCUGAUCCAGCCAUACCGCGUGGGUGAAGAAGGCCUUCGGGUUGUAAAGCCCUUUUGUUGGGAAAGAAAAGCAGCAGGUUAAUACCCCGCUGUUCUGACGGUACCCAAAGAAUAAGCACCGGCUAACUUCGU